UACAGAGGCCCCGAGCGUUAAUCGGAAUCACUGGGCUUAAAGGGUGCGUAGGCGGACUUCUAAGUGUCGUGUGAAAGCCCACUGCUUAACGGUGGAACCGCUCGGCAAACUGGAAGUCUCGAGGAAGGUAGAGGCCGGUAGAACGAAUGGUGGAGCGGUGGAAUGCGUAGAUAUCAGGAGGAACACCGGUGGCGAAGGCGGAUCUCUGGGCCUUACCUGACGCUCAGGUGCGAAAGCUAGGGGAGCGAACAGG
rnacentral:rRNA from 1 species